AUGCCUCGCUGUAUGUCUCUCUCAAAUGUCAAUAUGCCUUGUAUACUGUUGUGCAGGUUAGUUAUCAUUGUUUUAGUUUACAAUGGAGCCCCUAGUUCCACUCUUUAUACCCCUGUUACCUCCUUUGUCCCACCCCCCACACAUGCGGUGACCUCACCCAUUACAACCAGCAUGUCCAGAGAUACAAUCUCUCUCAUCAUCACCCAGUGCCUGGGCUUACCUCCGCUGUACCCGCACCCCACCAUACCCCUGUUUGCGCAUUAUGCCCUGAAUAUAUUCUACCAUGCCCAGAAACCUGCUCCUCUUAUUCUCUGUCCCCAACGCCCUAGUCGACCAGUUUUGAUAGCCUUCAGCCGCGCCCUCAUACUACUCCUUCUCUGUUCCGCGGGUGAUGUGGAGGUAAACCCAGGCCCUGCAUGUCCCCAGGCACCCUCAUUUGUUGACUUCUGUGAUCGAAAAAGCCUUGGUUUCAUGCAUGUCAACAUCAGAAGCCUCCUCCCUAAGUUUGUCUUACUCACUGCUCUAGCACACUCUGCUAACCCUGAUGUCCUUGCCGUGUCUGAAUCCUGGCUCAGGAAGGCCACCAAAAAUUCUGAGAUUUCCAUACCCAACUAUAACAUCUUCCGUCAAGAUAGAACUGCCAAAGGAGGAGGAGUUGCAGUCUACUGCAGAGAAAGCCUGCAAAGUAAUGUCAUACUUUCCAGGUCCAUACCCAAACAGUUCGAACUACUAAUUUUGAAAAUUACUCUCUCCAGAAAUAAGUCUCUCACUGUUGCCGCCUGCUACCGACCCCCCUCAGCUCCCAGCUGUGCCCUGGACACCAUUUGUGAAUUGAUCGCCCCCCAUCUAGCUUCAGAGUUUGUUCUGUUAGGAGACCUAAACUGGGAUAUGCUUAACACCCCGGCAGUCCUACAAUCUAAGCUAGAUGCCCUCAAUCUCACUCAAAUCAUCAAGGAACCCACCAGGUACAACCCUAACUCUGUAAACAAGGGCACCCUCAUUGACGUCAUCCUGACCAACUGGCCCUCCAAAUACACCUCCGCUGUCUUCAACCAGGAUCUCAGCGAUCACUGCCUCAUUGCCUGUAUCCGCUACGGAGCCGCAGUCAAACGACCACCCCUCAUCACUGUCAAACGCUCCCUAAAACACUUCUGUGAGCAGGCCUUUCUAAUCGACCUGGCCCGGGUAUCCUGGAAGGACAUUGACCUCAUCCCGUCAGUUGAGGAUGCCUGGUCUUUCUUUAAAAGUAACUUCCUCACCAUUUUAGAUAAGCAUGCUCCGUUCAAAAAAUGCAGAACUAAGAACANNNNNNNNNNNNNNNNNNNNNNNNNNNNNNNNNNNNNNGCUGUGCGUUAA
rnacentral:lncRNA from 13 species